GAUGAACGCUAGCGGCAGGCUUAACACAUGCAAGUCGAGGGGUAGAUUACUUCGGUAAUUGAGACCGGCGCACGGGUGCGUAACGCGUAUACAAUCUACCUUUUACAGAGGGAUAGCCCAGGGAAAUUUGGAUUAAUACCUCAUAGUAUUUUCGAAUCGCAUGAUUUGAUUAUUAAAGUUCCAACGGUAAAAGAUGAGUAUGCGUCCCAUUAGCUAGAUGGUAAGGUAACGGCUUACCAUGGCUACGAUGGGUAGGGGUCCUGAGAGGGAGAUCCCCCACACUGGUACUGAGACACGGACCAGACUCCUACGGGAGGCAGCAGUGAGGAAUAUUGGACAAUGGGCGCAAGCCUGAUCCAGCCAUGCCGCGUGCAGGAAGAAGGUCCUAUGGAUUGUAAACUGCUUUUAUACAGGAAGAAACACCUCUACGUGUAGAGACUUGACGGUACUGUAUGAAUAAGGACCGGCUAACUCCGUGCCAGCCGCCGCGGUAA
rnacentral:rRNA from 1 species